rnacentral:rRNA from 1 species
AGAACGAACGCUGGCGGCGUGCUUAACACAUGCAAGUCGAACGAGAAAAUUCCCUUCGGGGGAUGAGUAAAGUGGCGCACGGGUCCGUAACACGUGGACAACCUACCUUAAGGUGGGGCACAACCCGUCGAAAGAUGGGCUAAUACCCCAUAAGACCACGGAAUCUUUGGAUUCUGAGGUAAAAAGUGGCCUCUUCUUGAAAGCCAUUGCCAUUAGAUGGGUCCGCGUACCAUUAGCUUGUUGGUGAGGUAACGGCUCACCAAGGCCGAGAUGGUUAGCUGGUCUGAGAGGACGAUCAGCGACACUGGAACUGAGACACGGUCCAGACUCCUACGGGAGGCAGCAGUGGGGAAUAUUGGACAAUGGGCGAAAGCCUGAUCCAGCAACGCCGCGUGAGUGAUGAAGGCCCUCGGGUUGUAAAGCUCUGUCAGAAGGAAAGAAUUAAGGUGACCUAAUACGUCAUCUGAUGACGGUACUUUCAAAGGAAGCACCGGCUAACUCUGUGCCAGCAGCCGCGGUAAGACAGAGGGUGCUAGCGUUGUUCGGAAUCACUGGGCGUAAAGGGUGUGUAGGCGGUGGUGUGUGUCCGAUGUGAAAGCCCUCGGCUUAACCGGGGAAGUGCACCGGAAACUACAUCACUGGAGUACGAGAGAGGGUGGCGGAAUUCCCAGAGUAGAGGUGAAAUUCGUAGAUACUGGGAGGAACACCGGAGGCGAAGGCGGCCACCUGGCUCGUUACUGACGCUGAGACACGAAAGCGUGGGGAGCAAACAGGAUUAGAUACCCUGGUAGUCCACGCUGUAAACGAUGUUCACUAGGUGUCGGAGGAAUUGACCCCUUCGGCGCCGACGCUAACGCAUUAAGUGAACCGCCUGGGGAGUACGGUCGCAAGACUA